UACGUAGGCAGCGAGCGUUGUUCGGAGUUACUGGGCGUAAAGGGUGUGUAGGCGGUUGUUUAAGUUUGGGGUGAAAUCUCCCGGCUCAACUGGGAGGGUGCGCCGAAUACUGAAUGACUUCGAGUGCGGGAGAGGUGAGUGGAAUUCCUGGUGUAGCGGUGAAAUGCGUAGAUAUCUGGAGGAACACCGGUGGCGAAGGCGGCAUCCUGGACCGACACUGACGCUGAGGAGCGAAAGCCAGGGGAGCAAACGGG
rnacentral:rRNA from 1 species